rnacentral:tRNA from 1 species
CCUUUGAUAGCUAAGUUGGUACAGCAGAGGACUAUAGCGGAGGUUGACAGGCAUCCUUAGGUCGCUGGUUCGAAUCUGGAUUGAAGGA